AGAGAACUGACCACAUCCUGUGCUCAAGCUCUACAAUGCCUCGCUUCAUCAUUAAAUUAAUGAUCUUGGUGACUUGGUUGUCUCAAGCUCAAGGUCGAGAAAUCCAUCCAGCAAGGAUUUAUGCAGUUAAAAACAGAGGCAAACUGGAGUUCACAUGCAGUACACAUGGGAUGAAGGAAACAUUCGAGAAGAACAGCAACUUAUAUAUUUACCUCUGUAGGAAUGGCACUGGCAUAGCCAUGAAAUCAGAUUGUCAAGAUGUUACAUUUACUAUAGACGACAUUACAAAGGAUGAUACAGGAGACUACAGUUGUGUCUUUUCAUCGUAUAAGUAUGAUCCUGAGGAUGUAAGAGGAAAUGGCAUCAAUUCCAUCUUCAUUACUGUGAACGAUUCGUUCAUCCCGGCGGAGAUAGCCUCGCCGGAGACGAGUGUAAAAAUGGGAAGUGAUGUUGAUCUCCAGUGUACUUCUUUAAAAUUACCCGAGAGGAACCAGAAAGGCAACGUUUAUGCCUAUCUGUACAAGAACGGUUACACAGUGCAGAACGGCAAUGUAAUUCAGAUGAAUAUU
ensembl:lncRNA